GAUGAACGCUGGCGGCGUGCCUAAUACAUGCAAGUCGAGCGAAUGGAUUAAGAGCUUGCUCUUAUGAAGUUAGCGGCGGACGGGUGAGUAACACGUGGGUAACUUGCCCAUAAGACUGGGAUAACUCCGGGAAACCGGGGCUAAUACCGGAUAACAUUUUGAACCGCAUGGUUCGAAAUUGAAAGGCGGCUUCGGCUGUCACUUAUGGAUGGACCCGCGUCGCAUUAGCUAGUUGGUGAGGUAACGGCUCACCAAGGCAACGAUGCGUAGCCGACCUGGGAGGGUGAUCGGCCAACCUGGGACUGAGACACGGCCCAGACUCCUACGGGAGGCAGCAGUAGGGAACCUUCCGCAAUGGACGAAAGUCUGACGGAGCAACGCCGCGUGAGUGAUGAAGGCUUUCGGGUCGUAAAACUCUGUUGUUAGGGAAGAACAAGUGCUAGUUGAAUAAGCUGGCACCUUGACGGUACCUAACCAGAAAGCCACGGCUAACUACGUGCCAGCCGCCGCCGUAA
rnacentral:rRNA from 1 species